ACAUGCAAGUCGAACGAGAUCCAUUCAGUAGCAAUACUGAUGAAGGUCGAGUGGCGAACGGGUGAGUAACACGUGAGGAACCUAUCCUGGUCUCUGGGAUAACAGUCGGAAACAACUGCUAAUACCGGAUGCCGUCGGAGCGCUGCAUGGCGCACUGACGAAAGGGUUACUGGAUCAGGAGGGUCUCGCGGCCUAUCAGCUUGUUGGUGGGGUAAUGGCCUACCAAGGCAUCGACGGGUAGCUGGUCUGAGAGGAUGAUCAGCCACACUGGGACUGAGACACGGCCCAGACUCCUACGGGAGGCAGCAGUGGGGAAUCUUGCGCAAUGGGCGAAAGCCUGACGCAGCAACGCCGCGUGCGGGAAGAAGGCCCUCGGGUUGUAAACCGCUUUCAGAAGGAACGAAACUGACGGUACUUUCAGAAGAAGGUGCGGCCAACUACGUGCCAGCAGCCGCGGUGACACGUAGGCACCAAGCGUUGUCCGGAUUUAUUGGGCGUAAAGAGCUCGUAGGCGGUUCGAUAAGUCGGGUGUGAAAACUUUGGGCUCAACCCAAAGCGUGCAUUCGAUACUGUCGUGACUAGAGUUCGGUAGGGGAGUGGGGAAUUCCUAGUGUAGCGGUGAAAUGCGCAGAUAUUAGGAGGAACACCGGUGGCGAAGGCGCCACUCUGGGCCGAAACUGACGCUGAGGAGCGAAAGCGUGGGUAGCAAACAGGAUUAGAUACCCUGGUAGUCCACGCCGUAAACGUUGGGCACUAGGUGUGGGUUCCAACCAACGGAAUCCGCGCCGUCGCAAACGCAUUAAGUGCCCCGCCUGGGGAGUACGGCCGCAAGGUUAAAACUCAAAGGAAUUGACGGGGGCCCGC
rnacentral:rRNA from 1 species